rnacentral:rRNA from 1 species
AUUGGACGCUGGCGGAAUGCUUUACACAUGCAAGUCGAACGGCAGCACGGACUUCGGUCUGGUGGCGAGUGGCGAACGGGUGAGUAACAUAUCGGAACGUAUCCAAUAAUGGGGGAUAACGAGUCGAAAGAUUCGACAAUACCGCAUACGCCCUGUGGGGGAAAGCCAGGGAACUUCCGGCCGGGCGUUAAUGGAGCGGCCGAGAUCUGAUUAGCUAGUUGGUGAGGUAGAGGCUCACCAAGUCGACGAUCAGUAGCUGGUCUGAGAGGACGACCAGCCACACUGGAACUGUGACACGGUCCAGACUCCUACGGGAGGCAGCAGUGGGGAAUUUUGGACAAUGGGCGCAAGCCUGAUCCAGCCAUUCCGCGUGAGUGAAGAAGGCCUUCGGGUUGUAAAGCUCUUUCGCAAGGGAAGAAAACUUAGCCACUAACAUUGGUUGAGGUUGACGGUACCUUGAUAAGAAGCACCGGCUAACUACGUGCCAGCCGCCGCAGUAA